UUUUAUUAUUAUAUUUUUUUCCUGCUGUCUCCCUCUCUCUCCUUCUCGUGUCCUUCUCUCCAGGAUGGCGGAGGCAGAAUUGCACAAGGAAAGGCUCCAAGCCAUAGCAGAGAAAAGGAAAAGGCAGACAGAAAUAGAAGGCAAGAGACAACAGCUUGAGGACCAGAUACUUCAGCUGCAGCAUUUCAAGUCCAAAGCUCUUCG